rnacentral:rRNA from 1 species
UAUGGCCUACGGGACGCAGCAGUGAGGAAUAUUGGUCAAUGGCCGGAAGACUGAACCAGCCAAGCCGCGUGAAGGACGAAGGUGCCAAGCAUUGUAAACUUCUUUCGUCAAGGGACAAAAUCAGGCUCGAGAGCCUGACCGUGGGUACUUGAUGAAAAAGCAUCGGCUAACUCCGUGCCAGCAGCCGCGGUAAUACGGAGGAUGCGAGCGUUAUCCGGAUUUAUUGGGUUUAAAGGGUGCGUAGGCGGACUGUUAAGUCAGCGGUAAAAG